rnacentral:rRNA from 1 species
GACGAACGCUGGCGGCGUGCUUAACACAUGCAAGUCGAGCGGUAAGGCCCUUUCGGGGGUACACGAGCGGCGAACGGGUGAGUAACACGUGGGUGACCUGCCCUCAGCUCUGGGAUAAGCCUGGGAAACCGGGUCUAAUACCGGAUAUGACUCCAUGACGCAUGUUGUGGGGUGGAAAGCCUUGUGCGGCUGAGGAUGGGCCCGCGGCCUAUCAGCUUGUUGGUGGGGUGAUGGCCUACCAAGGCGACGACGGGUAGCCGGCCUGAGAGGGCGACCGACCACACUGGGACUGAGACACGGCCCAGACUCCUACGGGAGGCAGCAGUGGGGAAUCUUGCGCAAUGGGCGAAAGCCUGACGCAGCGACGCCGCGUGAGGGAUGAC